UCAAUUAUUUAUAGCCUCUGGCUAUAGGAAAUUGUUAGUGGCAGACGGGUGAGUAAUGCGUAGGAAUCUACCUAGUAGUACGGAAUAGCCAUUAGAAAUGGUGGGUAAUACUGUAUAAUCCCCGAGGGGGAAAGAUUUAUCGCUAUUAGAUGAGCCUACGUUAGAUUAGCUAGUUGGUGAGGUAAUGGCUUACCAAGGCUAUGAUCUAUAGCUGGUCUGAGAGGACGAUCAGCCACACUGGAACUGAGAUACGGUCCAGACUCCUACGGGAGGCAGCAGUGGGGAAUAUUGGACAAUGGGCGAAAGCCUGAUCCAGCUAUGCCGCGUGAGUGAAGAAGGCCUUCGGGUUGUAAAACUCUUUCAAUAGGGAAGAUAAUGACGGUACCUAUA
rnacentral:rRNA from 1 species